rnacentral:rRNA from 1 species
CCUACGGGAGGCAGCAGUGAGGAAUAUUGGUCAAUGGACGGAAGUCUGAACCAGCCAAGCCGCGUGCAGGAAGACGGCCCUAUGGGUUGUAAACCGCUUUUGUACAAGGGGAAACCUGUAUACGCGUAUUCUGCUGACAGUACUGUACGAAUAAGCAUCGGCUAACUCCGUGCCAGCAGCCGCGGUAAUACGGAGGAUCCAAGCGUUAUCCGGAUUUAUUGGGUUUAAAGGGUGCGUAGGCGGUAUUAUAAGUUAGUGGUAAAAUAUUGGGGCUUAACCUGGGUACGCCAUUAAUACUGUAGAUCUAGAGAGUAGAUGAGGUAGGCGGAAUGAAUGGAGUAGCGGUGAAAUGCAUAGAGAUAACACAGAACACCGAUUGCGAAGGCAGCUUACCAGACUAAGUCUGACGUUGAGGCACGAGAGCGUGGGGAGCGAACAGGAUUAGAUACCCUGGUAGUC